GACGAACGCUGGCGGCGCGCUUAACACAUGCAAGUCGAGCGAGGACCAGCCCUUCGGGGCUGGGGAGAGCGGCGAACGGGUGAGUAACACGUGGGUAAUCAACCCUCGGUACUGGGAUAGCCCGGGGAAACCCGGAUUAAUACCGGAUGGCCCUUCGAAUCCUCGGAUUUGAAGGAAAAGGUAGCUUCGGCCUCCGACCGAGGACGAGCCCGCGGCGGAUUAGCUUGUUGGUGGGGUAACGGCCUACCAAGGCGACGAUCCGUAGUUGGUCUGAGAGGACGAUCAGCCACACUGGGACGGAGACACGGCCCAGACUUCUACGGAAGGCAGCAGUGGGGAAUCUUGCGCUAAUGCGGGAAACCGUGACGCAGCGACGCCGCGUGGGGGAAGAAGGCCUUCGGGUUGUAAACCUCUUUCAGGAGGGACGAAGCUACUCGGGUUAAUAGCCCAGAGGGUGACGGUACCUCCAGAAGAAGCCCCGGCUAACUACGUGCCAGCAGCCGCCGUAA
rnacentral:rRNA from 1 species